rnacentral:rRNA from 1 species
GCUGGCGACCAUAGCAAGAGUGAACCACCUGAUCCCUUCCCGAACUCAGAAGUGAAACCUCUUAGCGCUGAUGGUAGUGUGGGGUAUCCCAUGUGAGAGUAAGUCAUCGCCAGCU